rnacentral:tRNA from 1 species
GUUUAAAUAGUUUAAUAAAAAAUAUUGAUUUGUGGUGUCAAUGAUAUGGAUUUUUCAUUUUAGGCC